GAUGUAAUGUCUGGAUAGACUUUGGAAAUUUGAGAGUGAAAUGCAUAUUUUCUGUUGCACAUGAAUCCUUUGAUUAAAUCAAGGUUGCUAUAAACAGGUUUCAUCUCCAUAAAAAUCACAAUUUACAAAAAAAAAAAAAAAAAAACCUCCUAGAAAACAUUGCAAAUAGCCUUCUUGAAACCAUGUACAUCCAUAUGUGACUAGCAACAAACCAAAUCAGAAAAUCCAGAAGCACGGUGAAGAGGUGCCCUUACACCAAAACCAGAAAAAUUGGAAGAACGUAUAUCAAGACUUCUAUGCAGAGGUUAAAUACGAGAACAUUGAAGAUGACUAUUUCUUCAUGAACAUCAUAAAACAACUCAUGAAAAGGCUAGUAACUUCUACUACCUUUGAGAAUUCUACCCUUCUUUGCUUUAGCUAACCUGGGCUUGAAUGAUUAACAGCUGACAACUACCAAAUUAUGACUGUUAUUCUACCAUCAUACUAUUUCUGAAGCUUACAACUCAGGAGAAGAUUCAGCACUACUUGAGCUGUACCAGUGGUAUCAAGGCCACAGCUAAAAUGAAACGGACCAAAUGAGAUUACCAACUAUGUCAACCUUCACAAUAAUCUUUGCUCUAAUCAUCACUGAAGUCAUAAACUAUGACUACUCUGUAUCAUUUCAGAUUGCAAGAAAUGAGUCUUACGAUUUAACAUGAAAAAAAAAAUCCCUACAUGUAAACUAGUAAAUUAGGAACUUUGA